UAAUAAAACGCCUGCAGCCCCUUGCGCUCACAGAGUUGCCUCUGCAAGGUCAGCCUCUGCAGGGAGCAGCCCCUGGUCUCACCUUGGGCUUGUGCGCACACCUGGGGACACGUGGGUGGGAAGGUAGCUCUUGCGGCGGCCACGGAGCCGCCUGGGCUCAGGGAACGAGCCCCGCGCAGAGAAGAAAGCUGCCUGCCGGUCCCCAGCGCAGCCCCGUGGGGACCAGGACCCGAGCCACCACAGCUCACCGAGAGGCGCUGAGACCCUGCGGUGUGUGUGGGAUGCCUGGCAGGCAGACUCUGGGCACGGCCAGGAGGCAAGAAGAGAUUGAAGGAAAAACUCAAGGGGCUCCAGAGAAUACUACGAUGGUGCAAAGUCACGGAAGCCCUGGGAAGAACAGGUAGAAUGGAGUCGCCAUGACAUUGAGCCUCAUCUAGAUGCCAGUUCCAGAUAUUGGCAGACUGCUGGCCUCCCGAGGAGCACAGGAAGGGGCCUGACAGACUGAUGAUCCUGGUUGGAGAUGAAGAGGGGCUGAUUA